UACGUAGGGGGCAAGCGUUGUCCGGAAUCAUUGGGCGUAAAGAGCGUGUAGGCGGCUCGAUAAGUCCGCUGUGAAAGUCCAGGGCUCAACCCUGGAAGGCCGGUGGAAACUGUCGGGCUAGAGUCCGGAAGAGGCGAGUGGAAUUCCCGGUGAUAGCGGUGAAAUGCGCAGAUAUCGGGAGGAACACCAAUGGCGAAGGCAGCUCGCUGGGACGGUACUGACGCUGAGACGCGAAAGCGUGGGGAGCAACAGG
rnacentral:rRNA from 1 species